AGGUCUUUGGUGACGGGUCCUUCAGCCGCCGGAGCCAUGCCGCCGAAGACCCAGUAGGGAACCGGUUCCUAAGAUUUUGGCAGCUCAUCACUGCUGUAUCUCCUUUUCUUCCAUCUCUAUAAGACCCAACAAUAAGGCAACAGUAAUAUUUUGUUUAAAUUUAUUUCUAGUAAUAAAGUACUUUCCAAACAGAAGAGACGGCACAAGUCUUGCCCCAAGGAAUUAAUAAUCUAAAGACAGUUGAAAAAGGCUGAGCUGCUCUUGUCAGAUCAUGCCACUGUGCUGAAACAAUGGGCUGGACAAGAUGCCUCAGAAGAGCUACAUGCUGCAGAUUUUGUUUCCAUGCUCAAACACACCCUGCACAAACUGCUUGAAGACUCUGUCCAUUGAAUUCAGAUGGCCAAAAGUAUUCAGAGGUGAAUGGCUAGUACAUUGAUCCACUGGGUAACCUACAGAAGAACCCUUGAUAAAAGAAAAAUAAAGCUGCAUCAGCCAUGCCUGUACUAGGUACUUUAAACUGAAACUGCCAUCACUGAGGCAUGCCUGGAAAUAAGAGAUACAGCUUCGUCAUGUUGGAUCAAGAUCCUUGUGCACAUUAUUCUGAUUAUGGAUCAAGUCCAUGAUGUCUCCCACCAUUAUGUUUAUAAGUGCAAAAGAUAUCAAAAGCUGCAUUUACAGAUGAUGUAAGAGCAAAUGGCUGUGCAAUUAAAGGAAACAGAUGCAGUGUCUGCACUUCUUAUGGUCAAUCAGCUUUGAACA